rnacentral:rRNA from 1 species
UCCGGUGAUUUUGUCGACAGGGUCACACCCGUUCCCAUCCCGAACACGGAAGUUAAGCCUGUUAGAGCCGAUGAUACUGCACCUUUCAGGUGUGGGAAAGUAGGAAGUCGCCGGAU